AGAUGAAUUGAAAGUCACAUUGUAAAGGAUGUAGAACACAGGAAAAGGUCCCCAGCUUCUAUGAGGACCCUGCCUGCUGGAAGAAGCUGGAGUUCUGUUAGCAAGGAAGAAUGGCACUGAAGAUGGUGCAGCCAAGCCUUGUGAUGCUGCCACCUAUAACAGCCCAACUCCUGCUUUGAGGAAUGAUAAAACUGUUAAACCUCCUGGGACAUCUCCCUCCACGAACUUCACUGUAGCCUCACUCCGUUCAUUGCCUGUUCAUUUGCGAAUGGAUACUGAGUGCUGUGAUGGCUCAGAAAAGAGCCAUAACUCUCUUAAAAUUAAUUGAACUCAGUGUAAAUGUAUGGGCAAAAAUGACUGUAUCUGGAAAUGUGUGUGUGCUCAAACAAACAAACAAAAAAAAUUAAAAACCCAGCUCCAACCUCUAA
rnacentral:lncRNA from 1 species